GCUAUGUCUCAACAGCCUAUCCAGGUGAUAUAUUAUGCUUUUAUCUUUUUGCUACAGAAUAUUGUUAGGUGAAGCAUUUAGCGUCUGCGAUUGUUUUGUUUCUUCUAAUGAAAAAUCACAUAUUUUAGCAUCAACGAAUUUAGAGGGUGAUUUGCCAUAGUAAAAAAAGGUUUCUUAUGAACAGCAAAAUCAAAGAGAGAAGGAUUUUGUUUUGAAUUAUAUUGGCAAUGCUGCUGAGCUUUACCUUUCUUUCUUUCUUUCUU
rnacentral:misc_RNA from 1 species